GGUGAGUUCAGAUUUCCUUAAUCACCCCUUCAAGAUUCAUAUCUAAGUACUCUUGCAACCAAUAUGAUUAUACUACCUCAUUUCCUAAUCUUGUGUUGUUUUUAAGGUUAUGCACAGUUUAAUUUGACUAAACACCAUUAUUUAAAAUUGAGUAACAUUAAAGAGAGACAAUGGUAGUAAUGGGUGAGAAUUAAGAGUUUUGAAAAGUAAAAAAAGUGGAAAAUUAAAUCAACUAAAGAUUGAACUUGGUCACAGUUAUUUUCCUCUGCCCCUUUUUAAUUUGGUUAAAACAGGUAGGAAUGGCAAGCGCCUUGGACACCUUAUGUGGCCAGUCAUAUGGAGCAAAGCAGUAUCAAAUUUUAGGCAUACACAUGCAGAGGGCCAUGUUCAUUCUUAUGAUUGUAAGCAUUCCACUUGCAGUUAUUUGGGCAAACACAAGAUCCAUUCUUGUUUUCCUUGGCCAAGAUCCUGAAAUAUCUACAGCAGCUGGGGAGUAUGCCAAGUUAAUGGUACCAAGUCUUUUUGGUUAUGGUCUUCUGCAGUGCCUCAACAGGUUCUUGCAAACCCAAAAUAUUGUAUUUCCAAUGAUGCUCAUCUCAGGAGUGACUACGUCACUACACUUUUUAAUAUGUUGGAUUAUGGUAUUCAAGUCUGGACUAGGGUACAGAGGGGCUGCUGUAGCAAAUUCUAUCUCUUAUUGGGUAAAUGUUUUCAUACUCUCACUUUAUGUCAAGUUUUCUCCCUCGUGUAAAAAAACAUGGACCGGCUUUUCCAGAAAGGCACUGCACAGCCUCCCCACUUUCUAGAGGCUUGCCAUUCCUUCAGCUGCUAUGAUUUGGUAAUUUCUUUGUAACAUACUUCAAUAGCACCUAUAACAGACCAAUAUCUUCUCUUCUGUUUUAUGAGUUGUUACUAUUUUUAACAUUACUAUAAUCCUAAUUCUGUUUUCAAUUUUUGUUAUUAUUAAUAUUAUGGUGAACAGCUUGGAAAUGUGGUCGUUUGAAAUGAUGGUUCUCCUUUCCGGUAUUCUUCCAAAUCCAAAGUUGGAAACAUCAGUGCUUUCUAUCUGGUCGGUUUCAUAUUUCAGAUGUUUUUCACAUUUGUUUCAUAUUUUCAUCUACAUAUUAAUUGUGGGUGACUUGUGUGCUUUUGUCAGCUUGAAUACAGCAUCAACUGUUUGGAUGAUUCCUUUUGGACUCAGUGGAUCUGUAAGGUAAGGAUUUCCCUGAACUUAUAAGUUAUAUCUAUCAAACAUUCAGUUUCUUCCUAAUUUUCUUUGUUGAAACUAGAAGUAAAACAUGGUAAGUUGAAGAUAAAAUCUAUAGAAUAUAAUUGAGGGUGUUGUUACAUGUCCAAAAGUUGUAACGUAUUUUUGGACUACAUUUUUUUUUUGCAAUUUCCCCCUUGAUUUGGUGUAAACAAUAUCAUUAAUGCUUUGCAUGAAAUUCUUGCAGCAUUCGGGUCUCAAAUGAACUUGGAGCUGGUCAUCCACGUGCUGCACGUUUAGCAGUGUCUGUUGUCUCAGUCCUAGCCAUUGUUGAGGGUAGCUUAGUUGCGACAGUGUUGAUACUAAUACGCAAUAUAUGGGGCUAUGCAUAUAGUAAUGAAGUUGAAGUUGUCAAAUAUGUAGCAACUAUGAUGCCAAUUCUUGCAAUUUCCCACUUUAUAGAUGCAUUCCAGAGCGUUCUUUCAGGUUUUUCCUAUUUCUCUUUAUUACAUUUAUUGUCUACAUAGGAGCUAUGAUGUUUGUAGAUUGGAAGAAAUCAUAAAAAUUAUAUGUUACUUAAUUGAUUUUCCAAAAAUAAGUAAGCAAAAAAUCUGAAGUGAAAAAUUAGCUAGCUCCUAUAAUUUACAAAAUAUCACUUCAAAACAUUUUUAGUUGCUAGUUUACUUGGUAACUUUACCAUUCACCCUGAGGCUUGAACUAAGACGAAAGAAAUGUAAAAGAAGGCCUUCCUAUUUAAAGAAUAAAUAUGACAAACGGGGAAGUGGAAAGUGCAAAUAAGAAUUUAAAAAGUAACACAGAUAAGUUGAAAGCAUAUUUCAUCCAAACAAUUACAAUUGAUCUUAUUUCUUACUAUGUCAACUAUAAUGCAGGAACUGCUAGAGGAUGUGGUUGGCAGACAAUUGGAGCAUUUGUCAAUCUGGGGUCAUAUUAUUUAGUUGGAAUUCCAUCAGCUAUUGUGUUAGCUUUUGUAUUGCAUCUUGGCGGCAAGGUAAAAAUUGGACCAUUAUUUUGUAGCAUAGUUUUGAGGCUGAUGAUUCAGUUUUACAAAGAUUACAAUAAUCUGAUUUGGUCCUACCUGCUAAAUAAUUUUUUAUGUAGGGUUUGUGGCUGGGGAUCGUAUGUGCACUCACUGUUCAACUAGUUUCUCUAAUGAUCAUUACUACACGUACUGAUUGGGAGCAAGAGGUGAUGGCUUACAUUUUUUUUUCCUUUGUGAUCUCUUCAAUCAUCCUUUCAUUUUUUGUGAUGAGGGAGCUGACAUUUCUUAUUUUUCUGACUCCUCAUCUAGGAAAAGAAGGCCACAGAUAGAGUCUACGACUCAAUAAUUCCAGAGACCACAGUCUCAUGAAGCUGCAAUAUCUCUGCAGAUACGCAUUCUGAAUAAAGUCUAUUUGGACGAAAGCAAUGAGUUUUGUUUAAGUCUUUGAGGUAGAAAGUGUAGGUCCAGUUUUACAUGGUCUAAAUGAUAGAUCUUGAUAAUAUAGAAUAGUGUACAAUAUAUGAUGUAGCUGGCCAUUGGAUUUGUUGGGGGACAUCUCAAAUUUUAUCAAGGGAAAAGAAGAUUUUGGUGUACUGUAAGUGUGUAAAAGUCAGUCAUUAUCUGAAUUGGUUUUAUACUAGAUACAAUAUUGUAUGAUUACACAAGUUUAUUAAUAUUUUUAGUUGGAUUAAUAUUUUAUGACAGUGGUCUUAAAAACUCUACAACAUUUAUUAUAAUAUGAAUACAUAAAGAACACUGAAAACUUAACCUUGUCUUAGAAGAGUCAUCAUAUGAGUAUAAUGAAGUGUUUGUUAUUAACUCUGUUGAAUCAAAUGUUGAAAGUACACAAAGUCCUCCGGAUCCAUCACUUCACCUUACAACAUUGAGCACAGACAACAUACUGGGCAUGAUAUUGAGUAUAUUAUGUUUCCUUGCACUCAAUUCUGCAACCACCAAGUUAGACUCCCCUGUCAGCAGAACACUUAAGAUCUGACAUAGCCAACAAAAUAGAUUUCCAUCUGGGACUUUGACAGCAUCUGAAGCAUAACAAAAUGCCUCUAAAAUAUCUGCUACGUAAUAAUACUCCGCUAUACCUAACCCUCCUGAAAAUACUUAGCAACUAACCCAAAAUCUGUACAAAUAUUCAACCAACAUUGGUGAGGGAACCACUUAGUAUAGAUUUCAAGCAAGCAAAAGGUUCCUUAACCCACUCAUAGAAAGAAAAUAUAAACUCCCUUCACAUUUUCUCUAAUUUAUUACUAAUCAAUGGCUCUAAUUUGUAAGAAGUCAUUUUGAAAGGCACUUGCUUGUUCACAAAAUAAAGUUUAUUGGUAUUGAUUAUUCUAUAUCAACCUGUUCACCAAACUUCAUAUAGAAUUAAUCCCUUGAGGCAGCAAGAAAAACUUGAGAAAUCAAAUUGAUCAAUUUAAACAUUCUCAACAUCAAUUCUAAUUUGUUAAAAGGCACAUGCUCAUAAAACAAAAUAAUAAGUUUGUUUAUCCUAUAUUAACUUGUUCACUAAACUUCACAUAGAAUUAGUCCCUUGAGGCAGCAAGCAAAACUUGACAAAUCGAAUUGAUCAAUUUAAGCAUUUAAACAUCCAUUCUAAUUUUAUAAAACUCAUUUUAAAAGACACUUUUUCACCCAAAAAAAAAAUAUAAUUAACAGAUGUGUUUAUCCUACAUUAACUUGUUCACCAAACGUCACAUAGAGUUAGUCCAAGGCAGCAAAGAAAAACCUGACAAAUCAAAUUGAUCAAUUUAAGCAUCCUCAACAGACAUUCUAAUAUUUUAAGAGUAAUAACAGAUUUGUUUAUCCUAUAUUAACUUGUUCACCAAACUUCAAAUAGAAUUAGUCCCUUAAGGCAGCUAGCAAAACUUGGCAAAUCAAAUUGAUCAAUUUAAGCAUUCUCAAAAGCCAUUCUAAUUUUUAAAAGGCACUUGUUCACAAAACAAAAUAAAGAUAUGUUAUCCUAUACUGUUCAUUCAACUUCACAUAUGUUAACUUGUUCAAUUGUUCUUUUUUAAAAUUCUACAUCCAUUCAAUUUUUCAAAAAGUAAUUUCUUAAAGGAACUUGUUCACAAAACAAAAUAACAGAUUUGUUUAUUAAUCCUAUGUUAACUUGUUCACCAAACUUCACAUAGAAUUAGUCCUUAAGGCUGCAAACUAUGUCAAGGGCAACAGAAAGAACAGAAGUUCUUGAAGAAGUGAAGAAACAGUUAUGGCUAGCAGGACCUUUAAUAGCUGUGGGCCUCCUAAAUUAUUUCCUAAAUGUUAUAUCUGUCAUGUUUGUUGGACAUCUCAGUGAGUUGGAUCUCUCAGGUGCUUCCAUGGCCACUUCUUUUGCAUCAGUGACAGGUUUCACUUUAUUGGUGAGUUCGGUUUUCCUUAAACUCCCCUUUCAGAUUGAUAGCUUGUAGUAUAGUACCCUUUUUAAUGAAUAAGAAUCUCAGUUCUGUGUUGGUCGGUUGUGAAAGGUUAUAUAUAGCUCUGAGCACUAUUUAUUCUUGAUAGAAUCUAGUCUUACAUUGAGUUUAUACACUCAAUUUCUACACUCGCUUAUUACAUGCAAGUCUUUUUUUUCAUAGAAUGUAAUAAAAAGAUGAUGUGCUUUAUAAAGUUUUCCUUUAUUAUUUUGUUUGCUUAAUUUUGAAGAUCAUUAACAUUUUGGAACUAAGAACUGUCAGAGAAAUAUAUAUAAAUUCAAUACAAUUAGUUUAAAAUAAAGCAGCUAAGCUGAACUAAUAUCAAUUAUUGUGAGUGUCAGUCUGUCAGUGUGUGAAGUGUAUAAUGUUUACCCUACAAAUUGCAAACUUAUCUUUUCAAGGAAACAACUAAUAAGUAGGCACGCAAUGAAAUGUGAUCACAGUUAUUUUAUUGUUUCUCUGAUGAUUAUUGGUUAAAACAGACAGGAAUGGCAAGUGCCUUGGACACCUUAUGUGGCCAGUCAUAUGGAGCAAAGCAGUAUCAGAAUUUAGGCAUAU
rnacentral:lncRNA from 1 species